rnacentral:rRNA from 1 species
AUUUUAAAUCUAGCCUAAACACAAAAUACUUUUCCCUAAUAUACAAAACAUUAUUAUAUGAUAGUACGGGCGACAGAAAACUUACUAGCGCAAUAGAAAAAGUACUGUAAAGGAAAGAUGAAAUAAAAUUGAAAUAGAAUAAAAAUAUAAAAUAGCAAAGACUACAACUUCUACCUUUAGCAUAAUGGUCUAGCCAGUCUACAUUAACAUAAAGAACUUUAGUUAUAUAUCCCGAAACCAGGCGAGCUACCCUAAAACAGCAAUAUAUGAGCAAACCCCUCUCUGUGGCAAAAGAGUGAGAAGAAUUUUUGGUAGAGGCGAAAAACCAAACGAGCCCGGAUAUAGCUGGUUACUUGAGAAUGAAUUUUAGUUCAAUUAAAAGCAUAAAUAUUAUAAAAACAUAAGCGCUUUUAUUAUAAUUAAUUGGGGUACAGCCCACUUAAUAAAGGAAACAACCUA